GGAGUUAGCCGGUGCUUCUUCUGUGAGUGAUGUCCUUCCUGCCGGCUAUUAACCCGCAGGCCUUCUUCCUCACUGAAAGUGCUUUACAACCCGAAGGCCUUCUUCACACACGCGGCAUGGCUGGAUCAGGGUUGCCCCCAUUGUCCAAUAUUCCCCACUGCUGCCUCCCGUAGGAGUCUGGGCCGUGUCUCAGUCCCAGUGUGGCUGAUCAUCCUCUCAGACCAGCUACGGAUCGUCGCCUUGGUGAGCCGUUACCUCACCAACCAGCUAAUCCGACAUAGGCUCAUCCGAUAGCGCGAGGCCCGAAGGUCCCCCGCUUUCCCCCGUAGGGCGUAUGCGGUAUUAGCCUGGGUUUCCCCCAGGUUAUACCCCACUACCGGGCAGAUUCCUAUGCAUUACUCACCCGUCCGCCGCUCGCCACCAGGGAGCAAGCUCCCCGUGCUGCCGCUCGACUUGCAUGUGUUAGGCCUGCCGCCAGCGUUCAAUCUGAGCCAGAAUCAAACUCUGA
rnacentral:rRNA from 1 species